rnacentral:rRNA from 1 species
AUGUCUGGGAAACUGCCUGAUGGAGGGGGAUAACUACUGGAAACGGUAGCUAAUACCGCAUAACGUCGCAAGACCAAAGAGGGGGACCUUCGGGCCUCUUGCCAUCGGAUGUGCCCAGAUGGGAUUAGCUAGUAGGUGGGGUAACGGCUCACCUAGGCGACGAUCCCUAGCUGGUCUGAGAGGAUGACCAGCCACACUGGAACUGAGA